GAUGACAUAUUGUGAAUUCACGCGUAAUAGCAAAUCUUUACCAAUUCAAUGCUUGAUAUAAUAAAUUUAAUAAUACACAAAACAGUAGACACUUUCGAAGGGAAAAGUGAGAGAAGAAAGGGAUUGAUUAUUAAAUACAUAUUAACAAUGGUUAAAUAUUGUUUCAUAAAUGGAUGUUACUCAUCCACUUAUAAAAAAAAGAAAGAAGACAAAACGAAUUUGGUACAAUUUUUUAGAAUUCCAUCAAACUCGGUCAUUAAAAAGCAGUGGUUAGAGGCAUUUAUUGCUGCUGGUCACAGCAAAGAACAUGUGGUACAAAUUAAAAAAUAUAGUACAAUAUGCAGCCGGCACUUUACAAGAGAUUGCAUUGAAAAAAUAGGGUUAUCAUGUGGUAGGUUGAAAGAAAACUCUGUGCCGACAAUAUUUCCAAAUACACUGAGUGGCAACACAGCAAGUAUGGCUGGCAUAGACAAAAAUAUAUCAGCAAAUACCUCAUUUGUACAAACGGAUAUUAGACAACGUGAAGAGAUAAGUGACGAAACUGUUUCAACAAAACGUAUAUGUUACGCAGGUGACAUAAACGUAGAAAAAGUGGGAAGCAUGUCACCAAGAGUAGUAGCGAAAUCCAUGAAUAUAUUAAAAAAGACAUGUGAAAAGAAAAAUAUAGUUAUUAAACGAUUAAGAGUACAGUUACAUCGCCAAAGAAGAAAGAUUGAAAACUUAGAAACUUUAUUGAAUAAACUGCAAACAAAGGGUCUUUUUUCUUCAACUUCGCCUGACAUUGUACAGACUACGGCGCUUUAGCACCAGCGCUCAAACGCUGUUUCAAAUGUUGAGCAACAGCCAAUGAGAGGUGUCCAAUUGAGUACAAUCGAAGUGAUACUUUUUGUCAAAUUUUAUAAAUAAACUAAAUAAAUGCAGCCAUAAAACUGAUCUAGUGAUUUUUUGAUGACAAUGCGUGUCCAAAGUUCGACCAAGUUCAACUUUUUCAAACAGCAUAUAUACGCACAUAUGAAAUUUUUGGCUACACAAUAUACAAUAGUGUAUGUACGUGUGUACGUAGAAUACGUACUAUAUAUGGUGAAAGAAAAAUUCAUUUAAUUCGAUGUUGAUUUGUUUAAACAUCGGUGUAAUACCGGAUUAAUGAAUUUUUUUCUUUUACUAAAUGUAGUACGUAUUAUACGUAGAAAUAGUUAAAAAAAAGUUGUACAAAUAGUUGAAAAGUUGCAAGAAAUGGCCAAAGUAAGUACUUCAGCGAAUAUCUUUUGCAAUAAGAUUCCACAAUAUAUUGUGGAAAUAAAUGUGUAUAUUAGAAAUAAUAAAUAUAAUUGCACAUUCCAUAUUAAAUGUGUAAUAAAAUUCUGAAGAAUUAUAUUAUUUGUUGAAACAAGGUAAUAGUUACAGCGAAUAACAUUACGUUAUUGAUAACUGAACAAAUUUUUAGGAAAUCGUGUAAUUUUUUAUUGAAUCUUCAUACAAAAUACCCAGAUAGAUAAAUUUCGUUAUAUAUUUUCUGCAAGAUGCUUCCUCAUAUAACAAGCAGAUAUGUAGCAUGCGUGCUUCAUAUGACAAGAAUUUUGACACAAUAUAAAAGACGUGAUCUGAUGUCACAAAAAUUGAGGCAAUUACAACGAUAUUCUGAUAUCAUUUUAUACAUCAUAAAAUUGCAUCAGAAUACCGCUGUAAUAUUGC